UCCUGGCUCAGGACGAACGUUGGCGGCGUGCUUAACACAUGCAAGUCAAGGGGAAAGGUUGUCUUCGGACGGCCGAGUAUACUGGCGAACGGGUGAGUAACGCGUAGGUAACUUGCCUAUCAGUCUGGGAUAACACUGCUAACGCGGUGCUAAUACCGGGUAUACUGCAUAGAUCGCAUGUUUUUUGCAGGAAAGCGGGCCUCUGGAACAAGCUCGUGCUGAUAGAUAGACCUGCGUCCCAUUAGUUAGUUGGUAGGGUAACGGCCUACCAAGGCAGCGAUGGGUAGCCGGCCUGAGAGGGUGACCGGCCACACUGGGACUGAGAUACGGCCCAGACUCCUACGGGAGGCAGCAGUGAGGAAUAUUGCGCAAUGGACGAAAGUCUGACGCAGCAACGCCGCGUGAGGGAUGAAGCUUUUCGGAGUGUAAACCUCUGUUAGGAGGGAAGAACGUCUAUUAUUCGAACAGGGUGAUAGAGUGACGGUACCUCCAGAGAAAGCCCCGGCUAACUCCGUGCCAGCAGCCGCGGUAAUACGGGGGGGGCGAACGUUGUCCGGAAUUAUUGGGCGUAAAGGGCGCGUAGGCGGGAAGGUCAGUCAGAGGUGAAAGCUUGUGGCUUAACUGCAAGUUUGCCUUUGAUACUGCCAUUCUUGAGUUCGGAAGAGGGAAGUGGAACUCCUGGUGUAGCGGUGAAAUGCGUAGAUAUCAGGAAGAACACCGGUGGCGAAGGCGGCUUCCUGGUCCGAUACUGACGCUGAUGCGCGAAAGCGUGGGGAGCAAACAGGAUUAGAUACCCUGGUAGUCCACGCUGUAAACGAUGGGUACUAGGUGUUGGGUUUAAUUACUCAGCGCCGGAGCUAACGCAUUAAGUACCCCGCCUGGGGAGUACGAUCGCAAGAUUGAAACUCAAAGGAAUUGACGGGGGCCCGCACAAGCGGUGGAGCAUGUGGUUUAAUUCGAUGCAACGCGAAGAACCUUACCUGGGCUUGAACUGUAGGUGAACGUAUCCUGAAAGGGAUAUUCUCUUCGGAGCACCUAUAGAGGUGCUGCAUGGCUGUCGUCAGCUCGUG
rnacentral:rRNA from 1 species